AGUGAACGCUGGCGGCAGGCCUAACACAUGCAAGUCGAACGGCAGCACAGAGGAGCUUGCUCCUUGGGUGGCGAGUGGCGGACGGGUGAGGAAUACAUCGGAAUCUGCCUAUUUGUGGGGGAUAACGUAGGGAAACUUACGCUAAUACCGCAUACGACCUACGGGUGAAAGCGGAGGACCUUCGGGCUUCGCGCAGAUAGAUGAGCCGAUGUCGGAUUAGCUAGUUGGCGGGGUAAAGGCCCACCAAGGCGACGAUCCGUAGCUGGUCUGAGAGGAUGAUCAGCCACACUGGAACUGAGACACGGUCCAGACUCCUACGGGAGGCAGCAGUGGGGAAUAUUGGACAAUGGGCGCAAGCCUGAUCCAGCCAUGCCGCGUGGGUGAAGAAGGCCUUCGGGUUGUAAAGCCCUUUUGUUGGGAAAGAAAAGCAGCCGGUUAAUAACCGGUUGUUCUGACGGUACCCAAAGAAUAAGCACCGGCUAACUUCGUG
rnacentral:rRNA from 1 species